rnacentral:rRNA from 1 species
AUCAACGCUGGCGGCGCGCUUAACACAUGCAAGUCGCACGAGAAAAGGGCAACCUGAGUAAAGUGGCGCACGGGUGAGUAACACGUGGAUGAUCCACCUCUUUGUGGGGAAUAGCUCUGGGAAACCGGAGCUAAUACCGCAUAAGCUCGAGAGAGGAAAGCAGUAAUGCGCAGAGAGAGGAGUCCGCGGCCGAUUAGCUAGUUGGCGGGGUAAAGGCCCACCAAGGCUUCGAUCGGUAGCCGGCCUGAGAGGGCACACGGCCACACUGGCACUGAAACACGGGCCAGACUCCUACGGGAGGCAGCAGUGGGGAAUCUUGCACAAUGGGGGAAACCCUGAUGCAGCGACGCCGCGUGAGUGAUGAAGUCCUUCGGGAUGUAAAGCUCUUUCGACAGGAACGAUAAUGACGGUACCUGGAGAAGAAGCUGCGGCUAACUACGUGCCAGCAGCCGGGUAAUU